GUACAUCAUCCAGCUGCACUCAGCCAUGCAAUGUAAAUGGACGAUCGCAGCCAUCGUGGCCCUUUGCCUCGUCCCCAGCCUGGCGUCACCCUGGCCUUCCCCAGAGCCCGCUGCUGCGCCUUCCCCAAGGCCCGCCGCCUUGGCUCUCCCUCGCCCCAGCCCCGUUCCGGAUCCCAUCCCUGCGCCAGACCCCUUUCUAGGAUUAUUUGGACGGGGUCGUGGGCGGGGUCGUGGGCGGGGUCGCGGGCGAGGUCGUGGCCGAGGACGCGGAGGCGGUGGCUUUGGUCUCGGGAGACUUUUCGGUUGAGGCUGACUGGGUUUCGGACGAUCCUUCGCGGACGCGUAGCUAGAAGUUAACAAGUCAGCGUUGUAUUUCAUGUUAAUAAAGCCACAGUGACAG